UACGUAGGGGGCAAGCGUUGUCCGGAAUCAUUGGGCGUAAAGAGCGUGUAGGCGGCUUGGUAAGUCCGCUGUGAAAGUCCAGGGCUCAACCCUGGAAUGCCGGUGGAAACUGUCAAGCUUGAGUCCGGAAGAGGCGAGUGGAAUUCCUGGUGUAGCGGUGAAAUGCGCAGAUAUCAGGAGGAACACCAAUGGCGAAGGCAGCUCGCUGGGACGGUACUGACGCUGAGACGCGAAAGCAUGGGGAGCAAACAGG
rnacentral:rRNA from 1 species